rnacentral:rRNA from 1 species
GCGCACGGGUGAGUAACACGUGAAUGAUCUACCUCCGAGUGGGGAAUAACUGAGAGAAAUCUUAGCUGAAUACCGCAUAACACUUACGAGUCAAAGCAGCAAUGCGCUUGGAGAGGAGUUCGCGGCGAUUAGCUAGUUGGCGGGGUAAUGGCCCACCAAGGCGAUGAUCGGUAUCCGGCCUGAGAGGGCGCACGGACACACUGGAACUGAAACACGGUCCAGACUCCUACGGGAGGCAGCAGUGGGGAAUUUUGCGCAAUGGGGGAAACCCUGACGCAGCAACGCCGCGUGGAGGAUGAAGCCCCUUGGGGUGUAAACUCCUUUCGAUCGGGAAGAUGAUGACGGUACCGAUAUAAGAAGCCCCGGCUAACUUCGUGCCAGCAGCCGCGGUAAUACGAGGGGGGCAAGCGUUGUUCGGAAUUAUUGGGCGUAAAGCGCUUGUAGGCGGCUUAUCAAGUCUCGUGUGAAAUCCCCAGGCUUAACCUGGGAAGUGCGCGGGAAACUGAAGAGCUUGAAUGCCGGAGAGGGUCGCGGAAUUCCCGGUGUAAGGUGAACAU